UUAGGUGGCAGGCUGUAGUCCUGCAAACAAGGGUUUAAGUCCUGUUUCUAUCA
rnacentral:tRNA from 1 species